UACGAAGGGGGCUAGCGUUGCUCGGAAUUACUGGGCGUAAAGCGCACGUAGGCGGUUUCUUAAGUCGGGGGUGAAAUCCUGGAGCUCAACUCCAGAACUGCCUUCGAUACUGGGAAACUUGAGUCCGGGAGAGGUGAGUGGAACUGCGAGUGUAGAGGUGAAAUUCGUAGAUAUUCGCAAGAACACCAGUGGCGAAGGCGGCGACCUGGUCCUUUACUGACGCUGAGGCGCGAAAGCGUGGGGAGCAAACAGG
rnacentral:rRNA from 1 species